rnacentral:tRNA from 1 species
GGUUGUGGCGCGGCGUCCUUGCCGCGCGGCGGGUUGUCGUUCCGCCGCUACGCGUGCCGGUAGUGUUUUUGCGUGCCGGUUGCUACGCAACCAC